rnacentral:rRNA from 1 species
UACCCUCGGGUGGGGGAUAACCUCGGGAAACUGAGGCUAAUACCCCAUAGACCUCGGAUACUGGAAGGUUCCGAGGCCGAAAGCUCCGGCGCCCGAGGAUGGGUCUGCGACCUAUCAGGUAGUUGGUGGUGUAAAGGACCACCAAGCCUGCGACGGGUACGGGCCCUGAGAGGGGGAGCCCGGAGAUGGACUCUGAGACACGAGUCCAGGCCCUACGGGGCGCAGCAGGCGCGAAACCUUCGCAAUGUGCGAAAGCGCGACGAGGGGAGCCCGAGUGCCCUUCCUUCGGGGAGGGCUUUUCUGGAGCCUAAAAAGCUCCAGGAAUAAGGGCUGGGCAAGACGGGUGCCAGCCGCCGCGGUAAUACCCGCAGCUCAAGUGGUGGCCGCUUUUAUUGAGCCUAAAGCGUCCGUAGCCGGACCCGUAAAUCCCUGGGUAAAUCCUGGCGCUCAACGUCAGGAAUUCCGGGGAGACUGCGGGUCUUGGGACCGGGAGAGGCUGGAGGUACUCCCGGGGUAGCGGUGAAAUGCUGUAAUCCUGGGGGGACCACCUGUGGCGAAAGCGUCCAGCUUGAACGGCUCCGACGGUGAGGGACGAAGGCCAGGGGAGCGAACCGGAUUAGAUACCCGGGUAGUCCUGGCUGUAAACGCUGCCCGCUUGGUGUUGU